rnacentral:rRNA from 1 species
ACCGAGACCCAUACACAGGUGCUGCAUGGUUGUCGUCAGCUCGUGUCGUGAGAUGUACGGUUAAGUCCGUGAACGAGCGCAACCCCUGCCCUUAGUUGCUAAUAUGCGAAGGCAUAUGCACUCUAAGGGGACCGCCAGCGGAAAGCUGGAUGAAGGUGGGGAUGACGUCAAAUCCUCAUGGCCUUUAUGUCCAGGGCUACACACAUGCGACAAUGGUCGAGACAACGCGUUGCAAACCAGUAAUGGUAAGCUAAUCGCAUAAAAUCGACCUCAGUACGGAUUGAGGGUUGCAAUUCACCCUCAUGAAGCUGGAGUUGCUAGUAACCGCAGGUCAGCUAUACUGCGAUGAAUACGUUCCCGGGGCUU